UACAGGGGGGGCAAGCGUUGUUCGGAAUUACUGGGCGUAAAGGGCUCGUAGGUGGCCAACUAAGUCAGACGUGAAAUCCCUCAGCUUAACUGGGGAACUGCGUCUGAUACUGGAUGGCUUGAGUUUGGGAGAGGGAUGCGGAAUUCCAGGUGUAGCGGUGUAAUGCGUAGAUAUCUGGAGGAACACCGGUGGCGAAGGCGGCAUCCUGGACCAAUACUGACACUGAGGAGCGAAAGCCAGGGGAGCAAACGGG
rnacentral:rRNA from 1 species